rnacentral:rRNA from 1 species
AGUUCGAUCAUGGCUCAGAUUGAACGCUGGCGGGAUGCUUUACACAUGCAAGUCGAACGGCAGCACGGACUUCGGUCUGCGGCUAUGGCGAACGGGUGAGUAAUGUAUCGGAACGUGCCUAGUAGGGGAUAAUUCAUGAAAGGUAGCUAAUACCGCAUACGCUCCUUUCGGGGAAAGCGGGGACCCCGGCCUCGCACUAUUAGAGCGGCCGAUAUCGGAUUAGCUAGUUGGUGGGGUAACGGCUACUCAAGGCGACGAUCCGUAGCUGGUUUGAGAGGACGACCAGCCACACUGGGACUGAGACACGGCCCAGAUUCUACGGGAGGCAGCAGUGGGAAUUUUGGACAAUGGGGGAAACCCCAGAUCCAGCCAUCCCGCGUGUGCGAUGAAGGGCCUUCGGGUUGUAAAGCACUUUUGGCAGGAAGAAACGGCACGGGACACGCCCCGUGCAACCGACGGUACCUGUAGAAUAAGCACCGGCUAACUACGUGCCAGCAGCCGCGGUAAUACGUAGGUGCAAGCGUUAAUCGAAUUACUGGGCGUAAAGCGUGCGCAGGUGGUUCGGAAAGAAAGAUGUGAAAUCCCAGAGCUUAACUUUGGAACUGCAUUUUUAACUACUGGUUUUGGAGUGUGUCAGAGGGAGGACCCGCGUAGCAGCAGCAAGUAGAUGAUGGUGGAGGAACACCGAUGGCGAAGGCAGCCUCCUGGGUAUAACAUCGACGUCAUGCACGAAAGCGUGGGGAGCAAACAGGAUUAGAUACCCUGCAGUCCACGCCCUAAACGACGUCAACUAGCUGUUGGGGCCUCGGCCUCGGUAGCGCAGCUAACGCGUGAAGUUGACCGCCCGGGGAGAGCAUGGUCGCAAGAUUAAAACCGCUGAAUUGACGGGGAUUCCGCACAAGCGGUGGAUGAUGUGGAUGACUGAUGCAACGCGAAAAACCUUACCUACCCUUGACAUGUCUGGAAUCCUGGGCGAGAUUUGGGAGUGCCGCAAGAGGAACUGAACACAGGUGCUGCAUGGUUGUCGUCAGCUCGUGUCGUGAGAUGUUGGGUUAAGUCCGCAACGAGCGCAACCUCGUCAUUAGUUACUACGAAAGGGCACCCUAAUGAGACUGCUGCGACAAAACCGGAGGAAGGUGGGGAUGAUGCCAGUAAGUCCUCAUGGCCCUUUAUGGUAGGGCCUACACGUCAUACAAUGGUCGGGACGGAGGGUCGCCAACUCCGCGAGGGGAGCUAAUCCUAGAAACCUCGACUGUAGUCCGGGAUCGCAGUCUGCAACUUGACUAGGUCAACUGCCAGUAAUCGCGGAUCAGUGAUGUCGUGGUGAAUACGUUCCCGGUCUUGUAUACACCGCCCGUCACACCAUGGAGGUUUUACCACCAGAAGAAGUUAGCCUAACCGUAAGUGAGGAAGGAUUACCACGGUAGGAUUCAUGAUCAGUGAAGUUUUGUAACAAGGUAG